rnacentral:rRNA from 1 species
GACGGAGGAUGCAAGCGUUAUCCGGAAUGAUUGGGCGUAAAGCGUCCGCAGGUGGCAGUUCAAGUCUGCUGUCAAAGACCGGGGCUUAACUUCGGAAAGGCAGUGGAAACUGAACAGCUAGAGUAUGGUAGGGGCAGAGGGAAUUCCAGGUGUAGCGGUGAAAUGCGUAGAUAUCUGGAGGAAUACCGGUGGCGAAGGCGGCAUCCUGGACCGGCAUUGACGCUGAGGAGCGAAAGCCAGGGGAGCAAACGGG